GGAAGGAUCAUCACAAAAGUGUGAGGGGAAGGAGGGGGGUCGUCCCCGCCUUUCACCACCAAUCUUGUGUGCACCGUUUCACCGGUCAUGUCAUGUGCGUUGGCGGGAGUUGUGUUGUACUACUCUACUACUCGCCGACCGCAUGCCUCCAAUUAUUAUCGCGAUGCAACCUUGUCCAACACUACUAUGUUAAUACUAUUACAACUUUUAACAAUGGAUCUCUUGGCUCUCGCAUCGAUGAAGAACGCAGCAAAUUGCGAAAAUUAAUGUGCAUUGCAGUACGUGAAUCAUCGAGUCUUUGAACGCAACUUGCACUCUAGGUUCUCCUAGAGUAUGCCUAUUUGAGUAUCGGCACACCCCUCAAAUCCCCCCUCCCCACAAGGGAUGAUUUGGACCUUGUGAGUCAUGUGCGCACAUGGCGUGCGCACCGACUUGAAGUGUGUACACACACUCUGGCCCGUGGGUUGGUGGGGGUGGUACACGCUGACGUGAUAAGUCUAUUUCGUCGGCACACACACACCAUCCCGCGGGAACAGGGCCACGCUCUUUCUUUUUUUCGAUCUCAAAUUAGGUAGGACUACCCGCUGAAUUUAAGCAUAUCAAUAAGCGGAGGAAAAGAAACUAACAAGGAUUCCCCUAGUAACGGCGAGUGAAGCGGGAACAGCUCAAAUUUGAAAUCUGGCUCGGCAUCCGCCGCGUCCGAAUUGUAGUUUAUGGUCCGUGUAUCGGUGCCACCAGCUGGUAUAAUUUGCCUGGAAUGGCGCAAAUCAUAGAGGGUGAUAGUCCCGUCCAUGACCAGCCGCGUGCGUGCCACACGUUACACCGGACUUGGAGUCGAGUUGUUUGGGAAUGCAGCUCAAAAUGGGAGGUAGAUUUCUUCCAAAGCUAAAUAAUGGCGAGAGACCGAUAGCGAACAAGUACCGUGAGGGAAAGAUGAAAAGAACUCUGAAGAGAGAGUGAAAUAGUACGUGAAAUUGUUAAAAGGGAAACGCUUGAAACUGCUAUGGCUGCGCUGCAGCCUGCCAGCAUCAGUUUGGCACACAGCGGCCCACAAGGCCGUGGGAAAUGUAGGACACGCGUGUCUGUUAUAGUCCCACGUGCGCAUGUGCUGCGCCAGACUGAGGUCUGCCGCCCCUCGCGGGACGUAGGAUGUUGGCUGAAUGGUUUUAAUCGACCCGUCUUGAAACACGGACCAAGGAGUCUAACAUGUAUGCGAGUAUUUGGGUGGUGAAACCCACGUGCGCAAUGAAAGUAACCAUGGAUGGGACACGCUUCUCGCGUCGCACCAUCAACCGAACCCCGCUGCCGGGAUUCGCGUGGGAGCAUACAUGCUGGGACCCGAAAGAUGGUGAACUAUGCCUGAAUAGGGUGAAGCCAGAGGAAACUCUGGUGGAGGCUCGUAGCGAUUCUGACGUGCAAAUCGAUCGUCAAAUUUGGGUAUAGGGGCGAAAGACUAAUCGAACCAUCUAGUAGCUGGUUCCUGC
rnacentral:misc_RNA from 1 species